rnacentral:rRNA from 1 species
UACAGAGGUCCCAAGCGUUGUUCGGAUUCAUUGGGCGUAAAGGGUGCGUAGGCGGCGCGGUAAGUCGGGUGUGAAAUCUCGGGGCUUAACUCCGAAACUGCAUUCGAUACUGCCGUGCUUGAGGACUGGAGAGGAGACUGGAAUUUACGGUGUAGCGGUGAAAUGCGUAGAUAUCGUAAGGAAGACCAGUGGCGAAGGCGGGUCGCUGGACCUUUUCUGACGCUGAGGCGCGAAAGCUAGGGGAGCAAACGGGG